AUUGAACGCUGGCGGCAGGCCUAACACAUGCAAGUCGAGCGAGCGGCGGACGGGUGAGUAUUGUCUGUGAAACUGCCUGAUGGAGGGGGAUAACUACUGGAAACGGUAGCUAAUACCGCAUACCAUCAGCUGUGCCCAGAUGGGAUUAGCUAGUAGGGGGGGAAACGGCUCACCUAGGCGACGAUCCCUAGCUGGUCUGAGAGGAUAACCAGCCACACUGAAACUGAGACACGGUCGAGACUCCUGCGGGUGGCAGCAGGGGGGAAUAUUGCAAAAGGGGAGAAAGCCUCAUGCAGCCGGGCCGCGUGUGUGAAGAGGGCUUGCGGGUUGUAAAGCACUUACAGCGGGGAGACGUUACCGGCAGAAGAAGCACCGGCAAACUCCGUGCAAGCAGCCGCGGUAUAC
rnacentral:rRNA from 1 species